UAGAGUAAUGCGUGACCAACCUGCCCCAUGCUCCAGAAUAGCUCUUGGAAACGGGUGGUAAUGCUGGAUGCUCCAACUUGACGCAUGUCUUGUUGGGAAAGUGUUUAGUGGCAUGGGAUGGGGUCGCGUCCUAUCAGCUUGUAGGCGGGGUAAUGGCCCACCUAGGCUUCGACGGGUAGCCGGCCUGAGAGGGCGGACGGCCACAUUGGGACUGAGAUACGGCCCAGACUCCUAGGGAGGCAGCAGCA
rnacentral:rRNA from 1 species